rnacentral:rRNA from 1 species
GCAGUAGCCGCGGUAAUACGAAGGGGGCUAGCGUUGUUCGGAUUUACUGGGCGUAAAGCGCACGUAGGCGGACUUUUAAGUCAGGGGUGAAAUCCCGGGGCUCAACCCCGGAACUGCCUUUGAUACUGGAAGUCUUGAGUAUGGUAGAGGUGAGUGGAAUUCCGAGUGUAGAGGUGAAAUUCGUAGAUAUUCGGAGGAACACCAGUGGCGAAGGCGGCUCACUGGACCAUUACUGACGCUGAGGUGCGAAAGCGUGGGGAGCAAACAGGAUUAGAUACCCCCGUAGUCCCUGUCUCUUAUAC